rnacentral:siRNA from 1 species
GCGGUUUGAUGAUUAUAAUUGA